rnacentral:lncRNA from 10 species
AGCCAUUGUAGAGAAUCCAAGCCGAGUUUAAGAGUGCUGUGGAAAUACACUGCUGCUACUGCUGUUUCUAUUACUGUUUGAUGCUGGGACUCUUAUGCUCCAACCACGUUUUCACCCAGCUGAGUCGCCUUCGUAUCACGCCUUUCCACUCAGAGAGGAAGAAAGGACCGUGUGAGAGAAGAAGGGAACAGCCUUUCAUCCAUAGGAGAAGUUCGUCUAUGACAAAGCCACUAGCUCCAUGUGGCCGCUGAGCACUCAAAAUGUGGCCAGUCUGAAUUGAGAUAUGUUGUUAGUAUAAAGUCCACAUCGGCUUUUUGAGCACUUUGUAUGAGAAAAAAGAAUACCAAAUAUCUCCUUAAUAAUUGUUACAUUGAUUAUAUGUUGAACUGAUAACAUUAUGGAUAUAUUGGAUUAAAUAAAAUAAAUUAUUAAAAUCAAAUAAAAAAUAAAAUC